rnacentral:rRNA from 1 species
AACGAACGCUGGCGGCGUGGAUAAGACAUGCAAGUCGAACGGGACAACAUCUGUAGCAAUACAGGUGUUGUUUAGUGGCGAACGGGUGCGUAACACGUGGGCAAUCUGCCGAGAAGUGGGGGAUAGCUCGCCGAAAGGCGAAUUAACACCGCAUAUGAUCAGUGAAGACAUCUUCACGACAUCAAAGCCGGGGCAACCUGGCGCUUCUUGAUGAGCCCGCGGCCUAUCAGCUAGUUGGUGAGGUAACGGCUCACCAAGGCUAUGACGGGUAGCUGGUCUGAGAGGACGACCAGUCACACUGGAACUGAGACACGGUCCAGACACCUACGGGUGGCAGCAGUCGAGAAUUUUUCUCAAUGGGGCAACCCUGAAGGAGCGACGCGCGUGGAGGAUGAAGGCUUUC